UACCACCGAGCGGCGGGUAGAA
rnacentral:snRNA from 1 species